UACAGAGGUCUCAAGCGUUUGUUCGGAUUCAUUGGGCGUAAAGGGUGCGUAGGUGGCGCUGUAAGUCGGGUGUGAAAGCCCCGGGCUCAACCUGGGAAUUGCAUUCGAGACUGAAUAGCUAGGGUGCGGUAGAGGGAAGCGGAAUUUCCGGUGUAGCGGUGAAAUGCGUAGAUAUCGGAAGGAACAUCAGUGGCGAAAAGCGGCUUCCUGGACCA
rnacentral:rRNA from 1 species